AGCUUUGCGCAGUGGUAGUAUCAUAGCCAAUGAGGUUUAUCCAAGGUGCGAUUAUUGCUAAUUGAAACAACCCCCUUUAUUUAUUUAUUUUUUUUGAGAGA
rnacentral:snRNA from 1 species